rnacentral:lncRNA from 1 species
UUGUCGUUGGUUUUGCAACCAACAGUUGUCAACACUAAAUUUCGUCCGAAUUUUAUUUUCUUUCAUUUUAAUUUUAUUUAAUUUUAUUUUUUAUGUUUAAUUUUAUUUUACUAUUUUGUAUUUGAUUUAGUCUUUGUUCUUUUAAAAAAAAGAAAAAAAAGAAGAAAAGAAAGAAAAGAAAAAGAGAAAAAAAAAGAAGAAAAAAAACAAAAAUCCGAAGGUCAACUAAGUUUCCCC